rnacentral:rRNA from 1 species
AGUGAACGCUGGCGGUAGGCCUAACACAUGCAAGUCGAACGGCAGCACAGAGGAGCUUGCUCCUUGGGUGGCGAGUGGCGGACGGGUGAGGAAUACAUCGGAAUCUACUCUGUCGUGGGGGAUAACGUAGGGAAACUUACGCUAAUACCGCAUACGACCUACGGGUGAAAGCAGGGGACCUUCGGGCCUUGCGCGAUUGAAUGAGCCGAUGUCGGAUUAGCUAGUUGGCGGGGUAAAGGCCCACCAAGGCGACGAUCCGUAGCUGGUCUGAGAGGAUGAUCAGCCACACUGGAACUGAGACACGGUCCAGACUCCUACGGGAGGCAGCAGUGGGGAAUAUUGGACAAUGGGCGCAAGCCUGAUCCAGCCAUACCGCGUGGGUGAAGAAGGCCUUCGGGUUGUAAAGCCCUUUUGUUGGGAAAGAAAUCCAGCUGGCUAAUACCCGGUUGGGAUGACGGUACCCAAAGAAUAAGCACCGGCUAACUUCGUGCCAGCCGCCGCGGUAACAC